UAGCCCUACCUUAUUGUGUCUUGUUGUUGGCAGCUGGGAGUGGAAGUUCAGCUUUUCCUUGGUCCUUGCUGAUAUGGAUAUUGGGGGAGGCAGAGUAUCAUUGAAUAGAGUGUCAUGUCAUAUUGCCUCAUUCUGCCCUGUUGCUGCAUGGUGGAAGCAGAAGACAGAAAAUCAAGAUUCCCCUUGGUCCCGCUGAUACGGGGAAGGAGUUUCACCCCAUAGCCACAACAGCUAGUAAUGUUCUGAGUUUCACCUGAAGCCAGCAAGUCUCAGAGGCUCACCCAAGACCCUGGAUGUAGGACCUGGGUAUCGGUUCUGAUUAAGACCGAAGAGUUCUUCAGUUAGCAGGUGAUGAAUGCUGUCAUGACUGGGCCCUUUUCUUCAAGGCAGCAAGUUUCCUUAUGGCCCAAGGUGUGUCUCAAAAUGUUGUCAUGGAGCUAGAUCCUGGAACAGGGACCUCAUGACUCUGGCCAGUGCCCUAUCCUGCUGUGGCUGAGCUGGUAUCCAGUAUCCUAGAUGCAAGACAAAGUCCUCUGCACAUUUCCCUUUCCUCUCCUCAAGCAGAAUGAAGGAGUCUCUUUUGGAACUGAGCUGUGAAGCCUAGGGUUGAGGAUGGGUGAUGCCAGCACUCCCUUGGCUGCCCCAGCUAGUGUCUCAGUAUGUCGCAUGUCCUCUUAGUCCACAGUCUCUUGGCCUAGUUCAGCACUGUCUCCUCCCACAUUCUGGACAUUCUAUACUUAUUAACACAGCUUAAGGUGGUGUUAAUAUUUGGGGCACCCCAUUAUUCUCUGUACUCACAAGGUCUUGCAAACAUCUAACCCUUCCUUUAAGCAUUUUUUCACUUUAGGCACUGAGCUUCAUCUUAUGAAAAUAUGCUGUGGUAAGAUGAAUAAAGACCCCCAAGAUGUUCACAUCCUGAUUCCCUGGACCUGUGAACAUGUUACCUUAUGUGGCAAAAAGCACUUUAUAAAUGUGAUUAAUUUAAGGAUCUUAAAAUGGGAAGAUUUUCCUGGAAUGUCCGAAUAGCCUCAGUGUAAUCACAAUGGUCCUUAUAAGAGGGAGAUAAGAAUGUCAGAGUGGGAGAGAGAUUUGAACAUUCCAUGCUGCUGGCUUUGAAGAUGAAGGAAAGGGGCCAUGAGCCAAGAAAUGUAGAUGACCUCCUGAAGCUGCAAAAUAAAAAAAAAAAUUAUUCACCCCUAGAACCUCCAGAAAAUAACUGAGCCCUACCAACACCUUGAUUUUAGUCCAGUGAGAUCUCUGUUGGACUUCUGCCCUCUAGAACUAUAAGAUACAGCAUGCUUGGAAAUGUGGAAAAUGAUCUGGAAGGGGAGAAAAGAGGGCAGAGAGACCUUUUCAGAAGUUGGUGUGAUGUUCCAUGCAAGUAAUGGUGAGGACUUGAAUUGGGGUAGAAGCACGACCACAAAAUAGCCUGCUAACAACUGUGUAAACACUGAACCACAACAGCACUGGACCAUGUGGUUGAUUCCCCAAGAGGUAUUUUCAGAUGGGUUGACUUUAUUGUGUCUCUUUUUAUAUACUACAAUGUCACUUUUACACAUUUCAAAAAUCAUGUCAGUGGUGUGGCACACAUUGGAAGGUCUGGUCUCAGAAGUGUAAAAAGCAUGGAGCACUUCAGCUUGCAACCAGCUGUCAUCCUGGAUUCUCCUCAGAGGAAGCCAAAAGUACUACACUUCAAACAAGCUUUUUGAAAAAAGGCCAAUGUAUGCAUUGUGCUUGGUAUGGCUACGGGAGAGUAGUGAGUUAGACUUCGAAAACUACUGCAAGUAGUGUCUAUGCUAAUAGAUACCUAGACCCCUUUGUCACCAGCAUUUAGGGUUGAUCGUGAUCUAUUUCAAUGCUAUGAUGUAAUAAUACAUUUUGAAAAUUAUUCUUAAGAUUUAAACAUUUUUCUGAUCAUUAAAGAUGUAUUUGUGUUGUGGAAAAUGUAUAACAAAUGCUAAUCAUACAUAACAAUAUUUACUGAAUGCUAACACCAUGUGAAAGACACUGUGCUAUGCACAUUGCAUACAUUAUUUAAUGUAUCCUCAUAGUAGUCCCGUGAGAUAGAUACUUUUACAUUCUCCAUUUUUAGGUAAGAAAACAGACUCAAAGUGACUUGCUCAAGUUUACAUAGCUAGUACAUGGUAGAGCUAGAAUUUGUGGCCCAUUCUGUCCAGCUCUAAAGUUUGCAUCUGUUUUUAACUUUUUUCUUAAUUAAAAAGAGAUAAAUAUGCACAUAGAGAAAAACCUACUUUUUAUUUCACCAUCCAGAGGCAAACACUACUAAUAUUCUGGCACAUUUUCUUCCUGCCUUUCUUGGAUAUUUUUUAAAAUUUUAUAUUUGAGAGAUAACAGACUUUAAAGGAAAUGUGAAACUCUUCCCUCACCAUUCGGUGAAUGGAAUGAUAUAAGGAGGUAAGUGGAAUUACUCUAGUAGGUAAAUAAAUAAUAAAUGAAUAAAUAAAUAAGAGGCUUGGUGCAGUGGCUCCUCCCUUUAAUCUCAGCACUUUGAGAGGCCAAGGUGGGUUGAUUUCUUGAGCUCAGGAGUUGGAAACCAGCCUGGGAAACAUGAAAAAACUCCUGCUCUACAAAAAAAUAAACUAUCCGUGUGUGGUGGCACAUGCCUGUGGUCCCAGCUACUCCAGAGGCUGAGGUGGGAGGAUCGCAUAAGCCCAGGAGGUCGAGGCUGCAGUGAGCCAUGAUGAUGCCUCUGCACUCCAGCCUGUGUGACAGAAUAAGGCCCUGUCUCUCUCUCUCUCUCUCUCUCUCUAUAUAUAUAUAUAUAUAUAUAUAUGAAAAUAGAAGUAAAAUGUCUCAAAUUGCAUCAUUCACACACAACCACUAUUAGUAUUUGGGCUCACCUACUACCUUUAUAACAACAUGCACUUGUUAACAUAUUUACAAUCAGGGUCUUACUUAUCUUAUAAGCAUCUCCUUAAACCAUAAAUUUUGUUUUAAAUUACAUCGUAAUAUUCUAUUAUGUAUGUAUACUAUUGUUUGACAUUUUUUUUUUGUUUGUUUUUUGAAACAGGGUCUCACUCUGUCACCUAGGUAGAAGUGCAGUGGUGUCAUCAUGGCUCACUGCAGCCUUGAUCUCCUGGGAUCAAGCAAUUCUCCCACUUCAGCCUCCCAUGUAGCUGGGACUACAGGCACAUGCCACCACACCCAUAUAAUUAUUAUUAUUAUUUUUUGUAUACACAGGGUCCCACUGAGUUGCCCAAGGCUAGUCUCAAACUUGUGCACUCAAGGGAUCCUCCUGCCUCAGCCUCCCAAAGAGCUGGGAUUACAAGCAUAAUCCACUGUACCCAGCCUGUAAUCCACUGUAUUUCUUUUUUUCAGCAUCCUAAAUAAUACUGUAGUGGAUAUCUUUUUGCAGUAACUUAUUAAAUCUAUAGAACUUUGCACAUAUUAAUAAUUAAUGAGACAUUAAUUGCUAUGAAAGUCUCAUGCAAUUAAAGAUGACAAAACACAGAAAGAUAUUUAGUGUUACAGUUCCAAUAGUUAAUCUUGUGUGUUUGAGAUGACUGUGUUAAGGGGGUCAUAACUGCAAAAUGUCUUCAAUAUGUUGUAACUGAUAUCUCAAUUGCUACUGAUAAGAACUUAUUUCUAAAACGUAGAAAUUUAAAGAAACUAUCUUUCGGCAAUCUGCCAAAAACUUUUUAAUAUGUUCAGAACAAAUUAAAUGGAAGAAUAUUUGCAAGGAUCCAAAACACUCCCAUUAUUCAUAAAAUGAUGGAAAUAUGAUAAACACAUUUUAGAAAUAUAAAAUUAAUCCCUGUGGCAGAGCUUAAUUAGUGGACAACUAUUCAGUAAAAUCUCAGUUAUUCUCUUCUUUCUGAGCACUUCUCUAGGCUAUAUUCACAAGCUUUCCUUGCAGUUUAAUGUGGCCAAAAGAUUGAGCUCUAACAGAAUUAAAGUGAAAGUGAUUUCUGCCCUGUCUAGGGAUUACCCCAGAUAUCUUUCACACAUGACCUUCUACAAUCUGUGUCUUUCCACUGUCUUGAUAAGGAUGAUCACAAUAACCUGGGAAGCUAUUUGUUGAAGAUAGAAGAGCCAGAUAUGGAGGAGUUUAUUUCUCUAAAUUGUCACUUAGAGGAGAUCUUUAUAACAACAUUAAUUUUGAAUGUUUUGCAAAUAAGAAAUAAACUUCUAUAUGUUUGAGACAUAUCACAUUUGGGGGUUUAUUCAUUACAGUUGCUAUUUGUUAUAGUUUUGCCUUAAAUAAUGC
rnacentral:lncRNA from 1 species